rnacentral:rRNA from 2 species
CAGGGAUUGCCUUAGUAACGGCGAGUGAAGCGGCAAUAGCUCAAAUUUGAAAUCUGGCGCUUGCGUCCGAGUUGUAAUUUGUAGAGGAUGAUUUUGGUUAGGUACCUUUCGAGUUCCUUGGAACAGGACGCCUUAGAGGGUGAGAGCCCCGUACGAUUGGAUGCCGAGCCUCUGUAAAUCUCCUUCGACGAGUCGAGUAGUUUGGGAAUGCUGCUCUAAAUGGGAGGUAAAUUUCUUCUAAAGCUAAAUACCGGCCAGAGACCGAUAGCGCACAAGUAGAGUGAUCGAAAGAUGAAAAGCACUUUGAAAAGAGGGUUAAAUAGCACGUGAAAUUGUUGAAAGGGAAGGAUUUAUGACCAGACUUUUUCUAGGAGAAUCAUCCGGUGUUCUCACCGGUGCACUUCUUUUAGUUUAGGCCAGCAUCGACUUUCGGCGGUGGAUAAAAGCUUUAGGAAUGUGGCUUCCCUCGGGAAGUGUUAUAGCCUAUUGUAUAAUACACUGCUGGGGGUCGAGGUACGCGCUUCUGCAAGGAUGCUGGCGUAAUGGUUAUCAAUCACCCGUCUUGAAACACGGACCAAGGAGUCGAACAUUUGUGCGAGUGUUUGGGUGUUAAACCCUCACGCGUAAUGAAAGUGAACGGAGGUGAGAGCCCUUACGGGUGCAUCAUCGACCGAUCCUGAUGUUUUCGGAUGGAUUUGAGUAAGAGCAUAAAUGUUCGGACCCGAAAGAUGGUGAACUAUGCGUGGAUAGGGUGAAGCCAGAGGAAACUCUGGUGGAGGCUCGCAGCGGUUCUGACGUGCAAAUCGAUCGUCAAAUCUGCGCAUGGGG